UGUCUCUCUAUAAAUAAAGGCAAGAGAAUUUGUAUAAAACCCAGAAAACACACAAAUAUAUGCUAUCUAUCUAUCAAUCCAAGUUUCAUAAAAUGGCUAUUGUUUACCAGAAAACUCAUGGGUUCGUGGCCAUAUCUUUCUUCUUCUUCUUCUUCUUGAUCACUUGUCAAGCAAGGAAUUUGCAAGUGGAUCAUUAUGAAUUAGUUCAAAAGAGUGGCAACCAACAGGUUGUUGCAAGGAAUAAAGAGCUAUCAAAGUAUGCAGACUUAGUAGCAAUAGACAUAGAUUAUACUCCUGCUCGAAAGAAACCUCCUAUUCAUAAUUAGAAUUUGGAGAAUUAUCGAGUGACGAAUUCAAAAUUUAGAGUCAUUUCUGCUUUUUCAUAUAUAUAAUUAGUGCCAUUAACUUUUGUAUACACAUAUAUAUACCCGGAGACCUAGAUGCAAGGGUAUUCUGUCAAAUCCGUUGUGUCCAGUCUAGCUCCGUAUGUCAUAAGUUAUAUAUAUGAUAUUAUGAUGUAAUACUUUCUUUUCCAAAA